GGCGUACGAGGACGAACGGCUGGGCGGCGGUGGAUUAGGCAUGCAAGUCGGGACGGUAGGGGCUUUAUCGUAAGAUAGAGUUUGAGAGUGGCGAACGGGUGAGUAACACGUAGGAAUCUACCCUUAAGACGGGACAACCCAGGGAAACUUGGGCUAAUACCGGAUGAGAGUGCGAGAGAUUGCAUUUAAAAGGAUGGCGAAAGUUGUCGCUUAGGGAUGAGCCUGCGGUCUAUUAGUUAGUUGGUGAGGUAAGAGCUCACCAAGGCGAUGAUAGAUAGGCGGCCUUAACGGGUGGUCGCCCACACUGGGAUUGAGAUACGGCCCAGACUCCUACGGGAGGCAGCAGUCGAGAAUAGUCUACAAUGGCCGGAAGGCUGAUAGUGCGACGCCGCGUGAACGAGGGAGCCCUUCGGGGUGUAAAGUUCUUUUCUAUACGAGCAGUGCUAUAUAUAUGGAUAGUAUAUAUAGAGGGAUAGUAGUAUAGGAAUAAGCAACGGCUAACUCCGUG
rnacentral:rRNA from 1 species